rnacentral:rRNA from 1 species
UACAGAGGGGGCAAGCGUUAUUCGGAAUUAUUGGGCGUAAAGGGCGCGUAGGCGGCCAUUCAAGUGACGGGUGAAAGCCCUCGGCUUAACCGAGGAACUGCCUGUCAGACUGGAUGGCUUGAGACCGGGAGAGGUGAGUGGAAUUCCCAGUGUAGCGGUGAAACGCGUAGAUAUUGGGAGGAACACCAGUGGCGAAGGCGGCUCACUGGACCGGAACUGACGCUGAGGCGCGAAAGCGUGGGGAGCAAACAGG